GUUUGAUCCUGGCUCAGAACGAACGCUGGCGGCAGGCUUAACACAUGCAAGUCGAGCGCCCCGCAAGGGGAGCGGCAGACGGGUGAGUAACGCGUGGGAAUCUACCCUUGACUACGGAAUAACGCAGGGAAACUUGUGCUAAUACCGUAUGUGUCCUUCGGGAGAAAGAUUUAUCGGUCAAGGAUGAGCCCGCGUUGGAUUAGCUAGUUGGUGGGGUAAAGGCCUACCAAGGCGACGAUCCAUAGCUGGUCUGAGAGGAUGAUCAGCCACAUUGGGACUGAGACACGGCCCAAACUCCUACGGGAGGCAGCAGUGGGGAAUAUUGGACAAUGGGCGCAAGCCUGAUCCAGCCAUGCCGCGUGAGUGAUGAAGGCCCUAGGGUUGUAAAGCUCU
rnacentral:rRNA from 1 species